AAAAGAUUAAGUUAUUAAGGGCGCACGGUGGAUGCCUUGGCACUAGAAGCCGAUGAAGGACGUUACUAACGACGAUAUGCUUUGGGGAGCUGUAAGUAAGCUUUGAUCCAGAGAUUUCCGAAUGGGGAAACCCAGCAUGAGUUAUGUCAUGUUAUCGAUAUGUGAAUACAUAGCAUAUCUGAAGGUAGACGCGGAGAACUGAAACAUCUUAGUACCCGCAGGAAGAGAAAGAAAAAUCGAUUCCCUGAGUAGCGGCGAGCGAAACGGGAAGAGCCCAAACCAACGAGCUUGCUUGUUGGGGUUGUAGGACACUCUAUACGGAGUUACAAAAGAAUAAACUAGACGAAUCAUCUGGAAAGAUGAAUCAAAGAAGGUAAUAAUCCUGUAGUCGAAAGUUUAUUCACUCUUGAGUGGAUCCUGAGUACGACGGAACACGAGAAAUUCCGUCGGAAUCCGGGAGGACCAUCUCCCAAGGCUAAAUACUCUCUAGUGACCGAUAGUGAACCAGUACCGUGAGGGAAAGGUGAAAAGUACCCCGGAAGGGGAGUGAAAUAGAACUUGAAACCGUGUGCUUACAAGUAGUCAGAGCCCGUUAAUGGGUGAUGGCGUGCCUUUUGUAGAAUGAACCGGCGAGUUACGAUUUGAUGCAAGGUUAAGCAGUGAAUGUGGAGCCGUAGCGAAAGCGAGUCUGAAUAGGGCGUUGAGUAUUUGGUCGUAGACCCGAAACCAGGUGAUCUACCCAUGACCAGGUUGAAGUUCAGGUAACACUGAAUGGAGGACCGAACCGACUUACGUUGAAAAGUGAGCGGAUGAGUUGUGGGUAGCGGAGAAAUUCCAAUCGAACCUGGAGAUAGCUGGUUCUCUCCGAAAUAGCUUUAGGGCUAGCCUCAAGUGAUGAUUAUUGGAGGUAGAGCACUGUUUGGACGAGGGGCCCUUAUCGGGUUACCGAAUUCAGACAAACUCCGAAUGCCAAUCAAUUUAACUUGGGAGUUAGAACGCGGGUGAUAAGGUCCGUGUUCGAAAGGGAAACAGCCCAGACCACCAGCUAAGGUCCCAAAAUAUAUGUUAAGUGGAAAAGGAUGUGGCGUUGCCCAGACAACUAGGAUGUUGGCUUAGAAGCAGCCAUCAUUUAAAGAGUGCGUAAUAGCUCACUAGUCGAGUGACACUGCGCCGAAAAUGUACCGGGGCUAAACAUAUUACCGAAGCUGUGGAUUGUCCGUAAGGACAAUGGUAGGAGAGCGUUCUAAGGGCGUUGAAGCAUGAUCGCAAGGACAUGUGGAGCGCUUAGAAGUGAGAAUGCCGGUGUGAGUAGCGAAAGACGGGUGAGAAUCCCGUCCACCGAUUGACUAAGGUUUCCAGAGGAAGGCUCGUCCGCUCUGGGUUAGUCGGGUCCUAAGCUGAGGCCGAUAGGCGUAGGCGAUGGAUAACAGGUUGAUAUUCCUGUACCACCAUAAUUCGUUUUAAGCGAUGGGGGGACGCAGUAGGAUAGGCGAAGCGUACUAUUGGAUUGUACGUCCAAGCAGUAAGACUGAGUGUUAGGCAAAUCCGGCACUCUUAAGGUCAAGCUGUGAUGGGGAGAGGAAAUUGUUUCCUCGAGUCGUUGAUUUCACACUGCCAAGAAAAGCCUCUAGCUAGAAUUGUGGUGCCCGUACCGCAAACCGACACAGGUAGUCAAGAUGAGAAUUCUAAGGUGAGCGAGCGAACUCUCGUUAAGGAACUCGGCAAAAUGACCCCGUAACUUCGGGAGAAGGGGUGCUCUUUAGGGUUAACGCCCAGGAGAGCCGCAGUGAAUAGGCCCAAGCGACUGUUUAUCAAAAACACAGGUCUCUGCUAAACCGUAAGGUGAUGUAUAGGGGCUGACGCCUGCCCGGUGCUGGAAGGUUAAGAGGAGUGGUUAGCUUCUGCGAAGCUACGAAUCGAAGCCCCAGUAAACGGCGGCCGUAACUAUAACGGUCCUAAGGUAGCGAAAUUCCUUGUCGGGUAAGUUCCGACCCGCACGAAAGGCGUAACGAUUUGGGCACUGUCUCAACGAGAGACUCGGUGAAAUCAUAGUACCUGUGAAGAUGCAGGUUACCCGCGACAGGACGGAAAGACCCCGUGGAGCUUUACUGUAGUCUGAUAUUGAAAUUCGGCACAGCUUGUACAGGAUAGGUAGGAGCCUGAGAUGCGUGAGCGCUAGCUUACGUGGAGGCGUUGGUGGGAUACUACCCUCGCUGUGUUGGAUUUCUAACCCGCACCAUUUAUCAUGGUGGGAGACAGUGUCAGAUGGGCAGUUUGACUGGGGCGGUCGC
rnacentral:rRNA from 1 species